UACGUAGGGGGCAAGCGUUGUCCGGAUUUAUUGGGCGUAAAGAGCGUGUAGGCGGCUUUACAGGUCCGUUGUGAAAACUCGAGGCUCAACCUCGAGACGCCGGUGGAAACCGUAAAGCUAGAGUCCGGAAGAGGAGAGUGGAAUUCCUGGUGUAGCGGUGAAAUGCGCAGAUAUCAGGAGGAACACCAAUUGCGAAGGCAGCUCGCUGGGACGUCACUGACGCUGAGACGCGAAAGCGUGGGGAGCAAACAGG
rnacentral:rRNA from 1 species